GUAUAAAAGGCGAGAGAAAAGUCGAUAGGGAUCAGUCGAGCGAGUAUCUCCGACACGGUAAGAGCUGCUGUGCAUUAUUUGCUAUCAGGCAUCAGCUGCAAUCUUCGUCGUAUUGUCAGUUAAUUUUCAGUGAAUCGUAUGUAAGGGCAAAGAAAAGGCGAAAGAAAUCAGUCGAGUGAAUAUUUCCGAUAUACAAGAGCUAAAGUGCACCACAUGUCACCAACUGCAUUCUUCGUCGCGCUACCAGUUUCAUUCAUGGGUGAAUAUUCUGUUUUUUUCUGUGUCGACCACUGGUGUACCGAUGAUUCUUGGGUGUGGCGGAUACCAAAGCACUACACUCCCGCCUUACUACACAACAUACAACACAACCAGUUGCUACACCAAUGCUUUAAAUACUACUCCACCAAGGAACCAGAGUGUUACACACCUACAAAUGCCGCGCCAGCUUAUUACACCGAGGCUCCCUAACACAACACCACCAAGUCAUUGGAGUACUACACCACUACAUAUCAUGGUAUGAAAGGAGAGAAAAGGUGAAAGAAUUCAGCAGCCGAGUGAGCAUCUCCGUUACGGCAUUAGGAAAUGCCGUGCACUAUUUGUCAACAACUUCAUUCUUCAUCGAAUUCCAAGUUUUAAAUUAAGUAAACUAUGGCGUCGUGCUGCUGUUGGGUGUUGUAUCGUUGAUGGUUGUUGGUUCAGCCAUGGUGUACCGAUAUCUCCAGGGUAUGGUGGGUACCAACAACAACACCACGAAGGCAGCGGAGUACUACACCACGAAGGCAGCGGAGUACUACACCACGAAGGCAGCGGAAUACUACACCACGAAGGCAGCAGAGUACUACACUACAUCCUACGCUGCUCCAAAGGCCCCGAGCUCGAGCUCUAUCACCAAGUCACCGGAGUAUUACACAACUACGUAUGCAGCGCCAGCUUACUACACCGUCGUAUAAAAGGAGAGAGAAGAGUCAAAUGAAAUCAGUCGAUGGAGCAUCUCCGACACGUCGUAUUAAAGGAGACAACAGGUGAUCAUUUCCGACAUGGCAAUAACUGCGGUGCACUAUUCGUUACCAACUGCAUUCUUCGUCGUACCACCAGUUUGCUAUCAUGGUUACAAUGGAAAAAUUCGUUGUUCACGCUUGUAGUUCACAAGAAACGUUUCGUAAAACUGGCAUGCGGUGGUGUAGAGGUUAGGUGAGAACCGGACGUUUUCCAUCAUUAUCAAAAAGUAAAAUAUCGAGCUGCUGCUGCUAUCGUCGUCGUGCUGAUGUUGGGUGUCGUAUUGGCUCGGUCAACCACUGGUGUACUGAUGUCUUUUGGGUAUGGUGGUUAUGAAACCGCAACGCCGCACGUUACUACACCGAGGCCUCCAAGUACUUCACCACCAAGUCUCCAGAUUAUUACACCACAACUUCGCUGCCCGAGCUACUACACCAAAUCCCCGAAGUACUAUUCUUCCCCGAGAUACGCCAUUAAAGGGUCGAGUACUACACCGAGGCCCCUAUUUACUACACCACUACAUAUCAUGUCGUAUAAAAGGAGAGAAGGCGAUAGAUAUCUGUCGAAUGGUUAUCACCGGCAUGGCAACAACUAAUAGUGCAGUAGUCGUCACCAACUGCAUUCUUCGUCGUACCACCAGUUUUGCAAUCAUUGCACGACGCCGCCGUCUUACUAUGGAACAUCAACAUACGACACGACCAGUUAUUACACCGAGGCCCCCAAGUACUACACCACCAAGGAACCAUAGUGUUACACAACUACAAAUGCCGCGCCAGCUUUAAUCAUUGUUAUCUAUGGCGUGCUGCUGUUGGGUGUUGAAUCGUUGAUGGCUGGAUUGACAGCUGGUGUGCCGAUGUCUCCUGGGUAUGGCGGGUAUCAAACCACAACGCCGGCGUCUGACUGCACGACAACAUACGGAAUGACCAGUUACUACACUGAGGCCUCCAUGUACUACACCACCAAUGUUCCAGAUUGUUAUACAAAAACAUAAGCUUUCUCGAGUUACUACGCAGAAGCCCCGAAGUAUUAUUCUACCCCGAGCUCUUUCACCAAGUCACCGGAGUAUUACACAACUACGUAUGCAGCGCCAGCUUACUACACCGAGGCUACCAAAUACUACUCUGCUCUUAACUACUGCACCGAGGCUCUAGCUUAUCACACCACCAACGGUCGAAAUCUACACAAAAGUGCCAAAGUACUACUCUGUCCCGAGCUACACAUCUCUAACUGAGGUGGCCAAGUAUUACGUAUCCUUAAUUAACCAACCGCUGCCCCUUCGUAUUAUGCUGAACCGAAAUACUACACUGAAGCCCCAGUUUACUACACCACAACCUACGCUACACCCUGCUACUACACCGAAGCUCUGAAGCAGUACACUACGAAGGGACCCGAGUACUAUGCCACUACAUACGAUGCUCCGACCUACUACACCGAAGCUCUGAAGUGUUACUCUGCCUCCAGUUACUACACCGUCAAGUCAUCUGAACGUUACACCACGACCUACGCUUCUCCAACUUACUACAGGGAGGUUCCUAACUAUUAGAGCCAAAUUUGUUUUAUUUAUCUGUGUAUAGGUUUUCUGUCGUAUCAUAAUAGUUACUUGUCGCUGGUAAUUGUUGUUGUUCUUAAAUUAGAAAAUAUACGUAUUAAAGCGGGUAA
rnacentral:lncRNA from 1 species